rnacentral:tRNA from 1 species
GUACCGAUGGUGUAGUGGUUAUCACAUCUGCUUAACACGCAGAAGGUCCAAGUUUCGCAACCUGGUUUGUACA